UACAGAGGGUGCGAGCGUUAAUCGGAAUUACUGGGCGUAAAGCGCGCGUAGGCGGCUUUGCAAGUCGGGUGUGAAAUCCCCAGGCUUAACCUGGGAACUGCAUUCGAGACUGCAUUGCUAGAGUAUGGGAGAGGGAAGUGGAAUUUCAGGUGUAGCGGUGAAAUGCGUAGAUAUCGGAAGGAACACCAGUGGCGAAAGCGGCUUCCUGGUCCAGCACCGACGUUCAGGCACGAAAGCGUGGGGAGCAAACAGG
rnacentral:rRNA from 1 species